rnacentral:rRNA from 1 species
UACGAAGGGGGCUAGCGUUGUUCGGAAUUACUGGGCGUAAAGGGCGCGUAGGCGGUCCUGAUCGUCGGAUGUGAAAGGCCUGGGCUCAACCUGGGAACUGCAUCCGAUACGGCGGGACUGGAGUGUGGGAGAGGUUGGUGGAAUUCCCAGUGUAGAGGUGAAAUUCGUAGAUAUUGGGAAGAACACCGGUGGCGAAGGCGACACGCUGGGCCGUACCUGACACUGAUGCGCGACAGCAUGGGGAGCAACAGG